UAAACAUGGAAAAACAUAACAGGCUGGAGACAUGGGUUGACACUUAAGGCAUUUGCUUGUACAAAAGAAUGAUUCUGCCCCCCACAUUUGGUUUUCUGAGACUUGGAUCUCCUACCUCCUGGGCAGACAUAGAAGGGGUUGUGUCACACCAUGUUGCACCUGCUUGGGUGGUAGCAAUUUUGGAGUUCAGCAUAGAUAUCUCAAUCCCCUUCAGUCAAUGUGCACAAGUCAAAUGUUAUGUCAGGGAACCAAGUUCCAAUAGGGGCUGAGUGGGACAUGGAAUUAACAGUCGUCCCUGUAACCAUGUUAGUAACCACCCAUGUGAGGUUAUAUGGCUUGUGAGGGUUAGGUCCAGUGAGGGCCAAACCCAUAGCAGAGAUCAAGAUCAGGAUUUGGAAAGUCUUAGCUUUAGUGGGUCCAGUGGGUGGGGCUGAAUCUUCCAUCCUUCUGGAGACAAGUAGUCAGGAGGCCUCUUCCUUUGGUGUUGCAACUGUUGAGUGGUCUCUCAUCAUACAGGUUUGACAUGGGAUUGAUGUAUCCGGGUUCUGACUCCAUCAACCUUCAUGGCUGUGGGAGUGGUCAAGAUUACCGUGUGAGGGCCUUUCCAUCGUGGCUCGAGAGUCUUUGGUCUCUUAAUCCAGACGUCAUCAUCUGGUUCAAAGCAGUGGGGGUUAGGAGGGGGAGCUGACUCGUAGAUUUGGCAUAUGUCUGGCCAAAUCUGUUUUUGGUCUUUAUGGAGAGCUUAUAGGGAUUCCAGGAACUUCUGAUGGUCAGAUUCUGCAAGGAUCUCAGGUUGAAGGUUAGGCAGAAGGGAAGGGAGCUUCACAUAUAGUAUCUCAAAGGGAGUAUAGGGGGUAUUUCUAGCCUUAUACAGGGCAUAAGGAAGGAGAGCUACCCAGUCACUGCCAGUUUCUAGGGUUAAUUUAGUUAAGGUCCGGUUCAUUCUCUCUACCUGGCCUGAACUUGGGAUGGUAGGCAUAAUGAAGUUUUCAAUCUGUUCCCUCAACUUUAACAAGCAAUUGUGUUACCUGAGAUAUGAAGGCAGGUCUGUUAUCAGAUCCCAACAAUGAAGGCAGUCCAUACCUGGGGAUAAUUUCUUCUACCAGCUUCUUAGCCACUAUGAUGGUGGUCUCUUUCUUGGUGGGGAAUGCCUCCACCCAGCCUGAAAAGGUGUCUACAAGAACUAAAAGGUACUUGUAUCCAUAUAAACCUAGUUUGACUUCAGUAUAGUCUGUUUCUCAGUUUGUGCCUGGUCUCUGUCGUGUAGCUGGUUUCCCGGGGCCUUUUGUCCUACAGUCAAGGGAUUUACUGCCUUACAGGUAGGGCAGUGGGAAAUGAUCUCAUUCACCAAGGACCCUAGGUGGAAAUUUUUGUAGUUAGAAUUUCUCAGCAGCUCCUUAAGUUUUCUAAGAUCCAUAUGAGUAUUUUGAUGAAUCUGAUGAAUGACCUGUUUAGCAAAUUCUGAAGGGAGAAUUAUUUGGUCCUCAGCUGUAUGGAGCCAUCCUUCUUUUUGAAAGAGUCCUUGGCAUUUGGUUAGGUCCUCCUUAUCUUUUGAGCUGUAAUGGGGGUCGGAAGGAGCUCUGGUGGAACCAUAGCCACCAAGGCCAUGGCUUUCGAGUCUAGUAUAGCCUCUUUGGCAGCCUUAUUGGCCAGUCUGUUUCCUUUCACUCUUAUCUUCCCCCUUUUGAUGGCCCAGGCAAUGGACGAUGGCUAUCUUGAGGGGCAGCCACAUCACCUUUAAUAGGACUAGGAUCUCAUCUUUAUUUUUUUAUAUUUUUUCAGGUAGUCUCAAUCUAGCUCAGGCUGACCUGGAAUUCACUAUGUAGUCUCAGGGUGGCCUCAGAUUCCUGAUGAUCCUCCUACCUCUGCCUCCCGAGUGCAGGGAUUUAAGGCAUGCACCACCACGCCUGGCUCUCAUCUUUGUUUUUUGAUGGUCUUUCCUUCUGCCGUGAGCAGCCCCCUUUACUUAUAAAUGAGCCUGUGGACAUGAGCUGUGGAAAAGGUCCAUCAGCUGUCCAUGAAGAUGUUUGCAAUUUUGUCUUUGGCCAUUUUCAUGGCCUGAGUCAGGGGAAUUAAUUUGGCCCUCUGGACUGAAUUCCCAGCUGGUAGGGCAGAGGCCCAUACUACAGAGUCAAGAGUUACUCCUGCAGCACCCGCAUACCUGAGACUGUCUUGAAUGUAACUGCUCCCAUCUGUGAAGUAGUCCAUCUCUGCAUUCAGCCAGGGCAUGUCUGUGAGGUACAGCCUCACAUUUUGGACCUGGUUCAAUACUAUUGAGCAGUCAUAUUUUUGUCCUGGUCUGGGUCCAGCAGUAAAGUGGCCAGAUUGAGGGCUGAGGAAGGGUGGUAUCAGAUGCAGGGCAGGUUCAGAAGCAGCGACUGGUAAUGCUCCAGUCAGUUAUUAGAGAUCCAUCAAUCUGGGGGAUACUUGAAAUCCCUUUGAUGGCAUGUGGGGUACCUAUGAUCAAUUCCUGUCUUAUCUACAUAUUUAACCAGCAAUGCGGUGGCCACCACUAUGAUGCUCAGGCAGAUUGGCUAUCCUUGCACUACUGGGUCCAGCUAUCUGGACAGAUAGGCUACUGGUCUUUUCCAAGGGCUUACAGUUUGAGUCAGCAUCCCCUUAGCUAUGCCUUUGUUUUCAUCUACAUAUAGUUGGAAAGGCUUGUAGAUAUCUGGUAGGGUCAGUGCUGGGUCUUAAGGAGUGCCUCCUAGAGCUGGUGAAAGGCUCCGUCCAUCUCUGGAGUCCAGUUCAAGGCAUUAUCCUGCCCCCUUGUGGCCUCAUAGAGAGGUUUAGCAAUUUCUUUGAAUCCUGGCACCUGGAGUUUACAGAAUCCCGGCGAGCCCAAGAACUCAUGAACUUGUAAUUGAGUUUUGGGAGUGGGGAUACUGAGGAUCGUCUCUUCCUGGGCUUGAGACAGAAGGCAUUGCCCCCUCACCCUUGAGUAUAUACCCUAGGUGUGUUACCUCCCUUUUGCAGAGCUGUACCUUUUAUGCAAAUACUCAAUAUCCCAUCUGCUCCAAUUCUCUGAGCAAGGCACCAGUUGCCAAACAACAGGUUACCUCAUCUGGGGCAGCUAUAAGGAAGCCAUCAACAUACUGCAGGAGGGUUAUUUGGGGAUGUGCCUGUCAGUAUUCACCCAGGUCUUCAUGGAGUGCCUCACCAAAGAUGGUGGGCACCCCAAAACAUUCUAAGGCAUUGCUGAGGCCCUUGGUUUCACACCAGGAAUAGAUGGUAAGACCAUGUUGCUGAAGACUCCACAUACUUGAGCUGCAAGGCCACUGAGAAAUCCUGCUGGACCUGAGCUG